CCGUCGAUAGGUCAGUUGGUUAAGCGGAGGACUGUGGUUGCGCUAUCCUUAAGUCGGUGGCUUGAAUCCGGCUCGAUGGA